UUGAGUUAGCAACCCAAAUAAUUCGAAUGGGUAGAUAGAAUCGGAAUAAAAAAAAAUAAAAAAAAAAAAAAGGAAUUUCAAAACGGAAUCAAAAAAUGAAAUUAGCAAGAACUCGAAUCAAAAAAAUUUCUAAUCGAUUUUGAACAUAAAAAAAAGACAACCAAAACCUAUGGAACGGAGAUAAAUGGGCCCAUUUCUCCAUGAGAAAAUUAUAUUUGUUCACUACAAUAUUGUCAAUAUGACAUUGAAUAUUGAAUAGCAAGAUUGAGAAAAUACUAAAAACAUACAAUAACAAAAACAAAAAGAGUUAAUUGGUUAUUUAUUAAAUUGAAUUCAAAUCCAAAUAACAAAUCAAAUUAUAUAUUAAUAAAUAGAUAUAAUAAAUAUGGAAAUUAAUAAAUAAUAUCUAAAGAAUUAGAUAAAUAAAAAACUUUAAGAAUACUUUUUUAGAGUUUUAGAGAAAGACUUCAAAAAAAAACCGAAAAGAAAUAGGUCUGAAUAGAACAAAAGGGGGGAUAGUAAAGAAAAAAUUAUACAAAACUAGAUAAAGCGCAUCCACACCCUCUUUUUUGUUCUAUUCCUUAAUAGAAUUUCGUUUGAUUAAGACUAACUUCUGUAAAAACCCCCGCUUUCUGUGAAAUAUCAUGAACGGUUCCUGUAGGUUGAGCGCCCUUGGCAAGGAAAUAUAGAAUAGCAGGAACAUUUAAAUGGGUUUGAUUAUUUAUCGGAUCAUAAAAACCCACUUUCCGAAGAUCUCUUCCUUCUCUUCGGGAUCGACCAUCAAUUGCAACGAUUCGAUAAACGGCUCAUUGGGAUAGAUAUAGAUGAACAGUACCCCCCCUAGAAACGUAUAAGAAGUUUUCUCCUCGUACGGCUCGAGAAAACAAAAUGGUUCGAAGUGAUAGUUAUGUCUAUGUAUAGAAUUAGAAUGUCAAAUAGAUCUAUAAAAUAAUCAAAUCAAUUAGAGAUUUAAGUUAUUCUUUUUUUGUUUCUUUGUCAUUUUCAAAAGAAACAAAAAAAGAAUUCGUACUCUCAUAACUCAAGUUAGAUAAGUUUCAACGCCCAGCCGAAAAUCCUUAGGCAUUUCCUUUUUUGAGCGGUCUCAAGCCCCUUUUUUGUUUGUCUCGUUUCGAAUCGAAUCUAUUUUUGGAUUGGAUUGAAUUGUUGAGACAAUUGAAAAAUGGUAUUUCCUUGUUCCAGGAUCCUUUAUCUUUGCUUUGAAUCAUUAGGUUUAGACAUUACUUCGGUGAUCUUUAACGUUUUUUAUUUUAAAAAAUGGCAGCAACACACCCCCUUUUGAUUUCUUUCUAUCAAAGAAUCAUACGAACAAUUGAUUCCUACAGGAUACACUUUUGGUAGAAAAAGUUUUCCCAAUUCCAACAAAUUUUCCCCUUGCUUUUGGAUUUCAAAAUUGCUCGAAUCAGAUCCUUUCGAUUUCUAUAUCGAAAAUUUACUUACGAAGUUUUUUCCAACUUAUUGAUUGGUAUUAACCCUAGAUCCGUGCCCCUGAGAAAGGAAUAAAUACUUUAUACUCGAGCUCCAUCCUGUACUAGUUCCAUUACCCCCCCAAAAAAACUUGAGGAUUCUAAUAGAACAGAAGAAAAAAUGUCGAGCCAAGAGCCCAUUCAUAUAAAAUCGAAAAUGGUGGAUGUAAAAAACAAAUCCACAGCGGAUCAUGUCCUUCAAGUCGCACGUUGCUUUCUACCACAUCGUUUCAAACGAAGUUUUACCAUAACAUUUCUCUAGUUUGGAACCGGUAUGUAAUUGAUUCCAGUAUGGAAUCAUGAAUAGUCAUUGCUUCGGUCGAUACACAGACUUUUUUCCUUGUAUAUGAAGGAAUAUUUAGGUUGUUAGUCGUUCAUCCGGAAUCCUGAAAUGAAAAAGAAAAUCAGAAUUACAAAAAUGGGCGAUUUCCGUAUCUAUCAGAUUAGACUGAACAAUUUUCGUUGGAAGUAAUUAUGUAUAUUGUAUGUUAAAUAUUUAAUUUAACAGGAAGAUAAGGGCUCACAAAUCUUAAAAAGCAAAAGGACGUUAUCUCUGAAAUAGAAGGAUAGCAAUCCAUGCAUAUAAGCCUUUCCUCAAAUUAUGUGUCGUUUCUUUGGCUUGGGCUUCAGAUUCAAUAAUCUUUCCCCAAAUUCAAAAUAAAAUAAAUAAAAUAGAAAAUAAAGUAAAUAGUAUAAAAUUCAAGUAAAUAGACUAUAUGAAUAACCCCCGUCUCAAUUGUUAUUCCAGAGAUUUACAAUUAUUCAUUAAAAAAAGACCAAGACCGCAAAAUUUGGGUUAGAAUCAAAGAGCCUCCAUUCCAUAUAGAGCGGGAUUAUUGGUUAAUGAAAUUUGGACCGACACCGAUAUUCAAAUCGGUAUCUUUCAUUGCUCACUAACUCUUACCUACUCCCACCCCGAAUUCUUUCUGUGGGAAUCCUAAAUAAAUAAAAAAAAAAAAGAUCCCAUUUUACGGAAUGCUAGACUAUUUUGUAUAGAUACAAAGACAAAAGGGCCCAGAUUAAGUCAUUGUUCCUUUCUAAUUUGUUGUUUUUUAUUUUAAUCUAACCUAGUCUUACUUAAGAGACUUAAUCCCGAAUUCAAUCAGUACCAGGAAUACCCUCUUGUUUAGAAUUCCGAAAUGAAAAGAGAAUAAUUGGGAUUCUAAAAAGAUAGGAAUGGGGAGGCUUUCCCAUUUCGAUUUAGAAUGGAUCUUUGAAAAUUCAAUUCGAGGGGGGGGCGUCAGACUUUUCUACGAAACUCGCUUAAAUAUGAAAGUGAAUGAAAGAGGAAGAGGGGGGCAUACGCAAAAACGCCCAUCCAACGUUUUUUAAUUCAAACUCUUGUGAUCGAUGUUCCCCGCUUGCGGGGACCACAAAUGCAUUCAGUUCCAUUUUCGUAUUAUUUGAAUUCGAUUCAAUUUGUGAAAAAAGAUCUGGUUGAGAAAAUAAUUUUUUUAAUUCGAAAAAAAAAAAAAAAAGAAAAAGACGUACACGUAUAUUUUAUCAAUAUAUACUUAAGAGGGUUGCUCAAACGGGAAUUGAAAAUUUUUAUUCUGCCCGGUCUGGGACGGAAGGAUUCGAACCUCCGAAUACCGGGACCAAAACCCGUUGCCUUACCACUUGGCGACGCCCCAUUUCAAUUUCGAUUUGGUACUAAUAAAGAGUACCAGUGGUAUUGGCUGUUCGUCAAUUCCAGUCCAAAGCCCCAAAAUUCGAUUCUGAUUUUAGUGUUAGGAUUUUGACACAUAUAGGUGUAAAAUACAACUUAAUUUAUUGAUCAUUACAUAGAAUUCAAUUAAGAUAUUGUAUGAAAGUAUGAUUUCUUCAAUUCUCACACGAGAAUAGAAGGAUUUUUGUUUUGAUUGGGUCGUUCCAAGAAGUUUUUUUUGUCUACCUUACUUUCUUUUCUUCAUUUUUAUCUUAUAUCAAUAAGAUAUUAAUAACUCAAUCAAAAUAAAAUUAUCUCCAAGAACAAAAUGUUUGUUAUGCUUAAUAUCUUUAGUUUAAUGUAUAUCUGUCUUAAUUCUGCCCUUUAUUCGAGUAGUUUUUUUAUUCGCUAAAUUACCCGAGGCCUACGCUUUUUUGAAUCCAAUUGUAGAUAUUAUGCCAGUAAUACCUGUUCUAUUUUUUCUCUUAGCCUUUGUUUGGCAAGCUGCUGUAAGUUUUCGAUAAG
rnacentral:lncRNA from 1 species